rnacentral:rRNA from 1 species
UAUUAUAUUUAAUGUAAAUUAUUUGCUGGAGUAGUAGUAGAGGGUUCUUAAAACUCAAAGAAUUUGGCGGUAUUUUAGUCUUUUCAGAGGAAUCUGUUCUGUAAUUGAUAAUACACGAUUUGUUUUACUUGAUUUUGUUAUCAGUUUAUAUACCGCCGUCAUAAGAUUAUUUUUAUUUAAGAAUUGAAUUUUCCCGUUUUUUAAUUAAAUAAUAUGUCAGGUCAAGGUGUAGCUUAUAAUUAAGUGGAGAUGGAUUACAAUAAUUUUAAUUAUUAUGAAUAAUUAUUUUAGGUUAAUUUGAAAGUGGAUUUGAUUGUAAAUUUAUUUUUGAUUUUUAUAUUGAUUAGAGCUCUAGAAUGUGUACAUAUCGCCCGUCGCUCUCGUUAUUAAAAUGAG